rnacentral:rRNA from 1 species
UCUUAACUCUGGCGGCGUGCCUAAUACAUGCAAGUCGAGCGAACAGACGAGGAGCUUGCUCCUCUGACGUUAGCGGCGGACGGGUGAGUAACACGUGGAUAACCUACCUAUAAGACUGGGAUAACUUCGGGAAACCGGAGCUAAUACCGGAUAAUAUAUUGAACCGCAUGGUUCAAUAGUGAAAGACGGUUUUGCUGUCACUUAUAGAUGGAUCCGCGCCGCAUUAGCUAGUUGGUAAGGUAACGGCUUACCAAGGCAACGAUGCGUAGCCGACCUGAGAGGGUGAUCGGCCACACUGGAACUGAGACACGGUCCAGACUCCUACGGGAGGCAGCAGUAGGGAAUCUUCCGCAAUGGGCGAAAGCUUGACGGAGCAACGCCGCGUGAGUGAUGAAGGUCUUCGGAUCGUAAAACUCUGUUAUUAGGGAAGAACAAAUGUGUAAGUAACUAUGCACGUCUUGACGGUACCUAAUCAGAAAGCCACGGCUAACUACGUG